GACGAACGCUGGCGGCGUGCUUAACACAUUCAAGUCGAACGGAAAGGCCCUGCUUUUGUGGGGUGCUCGAGUGGCGAACGGGUGAGUAACACGUGAGUAACCUGCCCUUGACUUUGGGAUAACUUCAGGAAACUGGGGCUAAUACCAGAUAGGAGCUCCUGCUGCAUGGUGGGGGUUGGAAAGUUUCGGCGGUUGGGGAUGGACUCGCGGCUUAUCAGCUUGUUGGUGGGGUAGUGGCUUACCAAGGCUUUGACGGGUAGCCGGCCUGAGAGGGUGACCGGCCACAUUGGGACUGAGAUACGGCCCAGACUCCUACGGGAGGCAGCAGUGGGGAAUAUUGCACAAUGGGCGGAAGCCUGAUGCAGCAACGCCGCGUGCGGGAUGACGGCCUUCGGGUUGUAAACCGCUUUCGCCUGUGACGAAGCGUGAGUGACGGUAAUGGGUAAAGAAGCACCGGCUAACUACGUG
rnacentral:rRNA from 1 species